CAUUGAUGAUAUCUUACAAUUAUCAUCCGCCUGGGAACUACGAGCAUCAGCUUAAAACCCAAAGGACUUGGCGGUGCUUUAGACCCACCUAGAGGAGCCUGUUCUAGAACCGAUAACCCCCGUUCAACCUCACCCUUCCUUGUUCCUCCCGCCUAUAUACCACCGUCGUCAGCUUACCCUGUGAAGGAUUAAUAGUAAGCAAAACUGGCAAAGCCCAAAACGUCAGGUCGAGGUGUAGCGUAUGGAAGGGAAAGAAAUGGGCUACAUUCACUAAUUCAGUGCAUACGAAUGACACCCUGAAACACGUGUCUGAAGGAGGAUUUAGCAGUAAGCAGAAAAUAGAGUGUUCUACUGAAACUGGCCCUGAAGCGCGC
rnacentral:rRNA from 1 species